rnacentral:tRNA from 13 species
GUGACCGUAGUUUAAUGGAUAAAAUUCCGGACUCCGACUCCGGCGAGUGCGCGUUCGAUUCGCGUCGGUCACA